GUUUAGCUGAUGAGUCCCAAACAGGACGAAGUGCACACCCUGGAU
rnacentral:hammerhead_ribozyme from 1 species